GAUGAACGCUGGCGGCGUGCUUAACACAUGCAAGUCGAACGGGAAACCUUUUAUUGAAGCUUCGGCAGAUUUAGCUGGUUUCUAGUGGCGGACGGGUGAGUAACGCGUGGGUAACCUGCCUUAUACAGGGGGAUAACAACCUGAAAUGGUUGCUAAUACCGCAUAAGCGCACAGGACCGCAUGGUCCGGUGUGAAAAACUCCGGUGGUAUAAGAUGGACCCGCGUUGGAUUAGCUAGUUGGCAGGGUAACGGCCUACCAAGGCGACGAUCCAUAGCCGGCCUGAGAGGGUGAACGGCCACAUUGGGACUGAGACACGGCCCAGACUCCUACGGGAGGCAGCAGUGGGGAAUAUUGCACAAUGGGGGAAACCCUGAUGCAGCGACGCCGCGUGAAGGAAGAAGUAUCUCGGUAUGUAAACUUCUAUCAGCAGGGAAGAUAGUGACGGUACCUGACUAAGAAGCCCCGGCUAACUACGUG
rnacentral:rRNA from 1 species